UACGGGGGGGAGCAAGCGUUGUCCGGAAUUAUUGGGCGUAAAGAGCUCGUAGGCGGUGUGUCGCGUCGGCCGUGAAAACCUGCAGCUUAACUGUGGGCUUGCGGUCGAUACGGGCAUCACUGGAGUUCGGCAGGGGAGACUGGAAUUCCUGGUGUAGCGGUGAAAUGCGGCAGAUAUCAGGAGGAACACCGGUGGCGAAGGGCGG
rnacentral:rRNA from 1 species